UGUUAGAGAAAAGUUCAUCAACAUCCACCAUUACAUCAGCUGCAGUGGAUUGAAUAGGAGUAUUCACUUCAUCUUCUGAAUCAGUGGAGUUGUCUUGCAGUGAAUCCUCUCCUUCAGAUUGAGCAUUGUCAUCUGAGGAUGUCUGUGCAUCUUCCACUAUCACCUCUGCUUGAAUUUGAGAAGUUUGAGUCUCAGGAAUGUCCGCUUGAUGAGACGACUCAGGAACUCCUGCACUUUGUGUUUCAGAGACCUCCUCUUCCUGAACCACAGGAUCAGCAACAUUUUGAAUGUGUGGUGGAGGCAAGUUCUGGUUGUUUAAGAAUUCUUGCAUUGCCUCCGGAAGAACCACAUCCUCAUUGUUUGUGUAGU
rnacentral:lncRNA from 1 species